rnacentral:lncRNA from 1 species
GUGAACCUAAACCAUGCUUCCAUCAUUUUCUAACUCUUUUAUUCUUGAGAUUCAAUUCUGUCUGCAGAAUUGUUUGUUUUCUUUGAUAUCCUACUGCAAAAUGUCCUUUGUAUCCACUUAGUAUACAUAUGUUACAUAUACACAUUUCUUGUUGGUGGUAAUUUUUUACAUAUACACAUAUCUUGUUGGUAGUAUUUUUGGACACAUAAAAGGUUCCAUGAUCCUGCUGUGCAUAUUGGGUGGUCAGAUUGAAUGGGGCUCAGUCGUGAUUUGCUACUUUUACUUUUCCACAAUUUAUUUAAAUCUGACUUUAUCUUUGUACCCUUGACUGGAAAUUCAUGAAUUGGGCUUCUGAUGGUAAAAUGAACUUGUUAGAUAUCUAGUAUUAUUUUCCACCUAUGUCUAUCUAUUCAUGUAUAAUAAUUACUCAACAGAUUAAAUUUUUUAUGAUUUUGGUAUAAACUAGGAAAAAAAAAUUACCUUAUAAUUGUUAGAAGCUUCUCUUGGCAAGAAAAGCAGAGGAGGCCAUAUAUCUAUCUAUGUUAUUAACCCCAAGAAGUGGGUUAAUUAGUACUGGUUAACUAUUGAAUUUUUUUAUGUUCUACUUAACUGAAAUUUCCUUGCAAUUUAUACUUUGUUUGAAACCUGUGAUAUUAAGCGUUCAUAAUGGUGCAGCGUUGACGUAGUGUUCUCUGGAGAAACGUGUGCUGAUGCAUGGAUUGAAAAAGAGGUAAAAAAUAAUAAUAAAUAAAAUAAAAUCUUAGACUUCCUGCUUCACAACGUAAAUGAUAGAAUUUUUCAGUUUAAAACCUGCGGAGUAUAUAACCAUUACGUCCAUUAAUCCUGUCGAAAAUUGAUUUUAUGGGAUAAAUGAUUUUGAUCUCCGCUUUUAUGCAUAAUGGUAAUGAUUCCUUUUGUAUUUUGUCCUUUACCAAAAAGCCUUUUCCCCAGAUCAAUUUUUUUUUUCUUUGAUUGGAUCUCACUUGACUCUCUGUUGCUCACAUUGCAUAUUGAGGUAGAAAUUUUGUAUAAAUUUAUUGGCGUUCAAUCAGAAUAUUCGUUUAAGUUCUUCCUAUUGAUUCCUGGAACACUUUUAAAUUACACUUAAAAGAAAAAGGUCAGCAAUCACCCAAAAGAGUAACCUUUUGUGCUUAUAUUUUACCAAAGUUAUUUUUUUCUUAUGUCGUUAGAAAAAGUCAAAUCGUAACGUGGUACUGUGGGAAUUAUUAUGCUAUGCCUUCUGUUUGUAUAUCAUUAGGCUGGUAUGAAGUGUGAUUUUACUGCUGUUUUCUGAUUAGCAGGCUGGAAUCAUGUUUGUGUGACAGAUAGUAGCUUUGAGAGAGGAUGGAUGUCCCAAAGUUUGGGUUGUGACUUCUGAUCAUUUGCAGCAGCAUGCAGCAUAUGGAGCGGUAUGCUCUUUACUCUUGAGUUUUUUACAGUAGUGCUUGAUAAUAAAUUUAUACAAAUUUCUGACAAGUCUUUUUAUCUUGAAUCCGAUAAGGUGUCAAGAUGUUAGUGGGGUUAUUAGGGCAUGCGCAGGGCGGUUCGAUAGCGACUGUUCAUGUCAUUCAAUUUUAUUUUAUGUAAUAAGUGCCAUUAUGGCAUUACCAAACUUCACCGAUUGAAUAUAUUAUGUAUACUUUUUAUGAAAGUGAAUACAUUCUUCAAACUUGAAAUUGGAAUAUUUUAUGUAGUUAUUUAACAUCACAUUUAUUCAAAACAUACAUAGGCAUUUAUAGUUCAAGGUUAGAAGCAAAUUAAUGGGGGAAGAUUUAAAUUAAUGAAGAUAAUGGUGAGAAAUACAUGUAUAAUCUAAUUAGCAGUUUGCUUGAGAAAUUAUGGGAGAAGAGAAAUAUACCAAAUCUCAGUUCAAUUUAGGUACAAAGAAAAAAAAAAACUUUAUAUGCAUACUUUAUUAAGAGUUGAAUUCAAAUAAUCGAAGUUGCAAGAAAAACUCUACUUGAUGUUAUGAAUUUUGUAUUUUAUUCAUUAAUAUUUUUUUGUCAAUUUAUUUUUCAUAGGGCCUUAAAGGUGUGUGUGUGUAGUGAAAUUAUUAAUUUAGUACACUGGCCUAUUUCAAGAUCGGAUGAUUUUAUUAUUUAAUCAAGAUUUUACAGUGUAAAAGCACUUUUAUUGUGUUUUGAACAUUUAUAUAAUAUAUUUGGUAUUAUACAUUAAGAUUUAUCUUUAUUAUUAUUAUUAUUGAACUCUUACCUAUUUGCUUAAUUUAUUUUUUAUUUUUUAGUUUAUAGAGAGUUUCUCUAACAAUUAUAUGUAUAAGCAGUAGCUAAGCUAUUUUAAUUAGUAGCGUCAGCACGACAAACUAAAAGUCAUUUAUCAAUCAAUAUCCCUAAAAAAUCCCAACUGCCGGCAAAUUAAUACAUAUCAUCACCCUAUCGUAUUGACAACAAAAUGCGAGCAACGUCCAGGUUAUUACAACAAUAAUUUUAGCACACAUUCAAUCAAGUGAAUGAUAGACAUAUUUUGUGUAGAUUCAAUUAAAUUCAUUUAACUUGACCCCAACAAGAAAAAGAGAAAAUUUGUUUGCUUCUAAUGAAAAUUAAUUAAAUGAUAGCAAUAGUUUGUAUGAUUGUAUGUCAGUGUAGUUUUUUCUUGAAGAAAAAGAAAAAAAAAAUCUAAUAAAAAUGACAAUUGGGUGGGCGGCUCAAUAAAAACAUGGUCGGUGAUAUUCGGUAAGCCCUGCGGGUAGCCACCAUCCAGCCAGUUUGCCUUUUCCCGUAUAUUUAUUACUUGAUUUUACACAGAGUUUUCACUAUCCGUUUAGCUCAAAUUCUUAUGUGAGAGUGAGACCACAAAAGCUUUGCAAGGCAAAAAGAGACAAGAGGAAGGGUUACACGAGAACCGCCAAAUUUGCCAAGGCCACGGGAUAUUUGUGGUCAAUGUUCCACAAAAUACAACUUAACUCAACUCAACUAACCCACAAAAUAGCCGUGGGGCCAUUCAUUUGCUGAUUUUCCAGCUGCUUAAUUUGGCUCCAUAUGAUCUCGUGCCAUCUUAUAUUCUUUUUAUGCGGGCAUUUGCCAUCUUAAAUUCUUUAGAUUACCCAUAAUUUCUACAUACCUGGGACUAAAAUUACUUGAAAUUCAUACAUGUCUUAGAUAUUUUUAGCAGAAGACGAGGUGAUGAGUGGCAGUAGUUUCCCUCUGCCUCAUGCGAUUGUAUGGCUUAGUGCGAUUUAUACCUACCUUUGCCUUCAUUUUCAUGACCCUUUUGUUUUUUAACUAACUGAAAUUAGACUAAUUCAUGAUCUGACUUUGCUCCGAUGAAAUUGUAAGUGUAAUUAAAUUUUAUUCAUAUAUUAAUAUUAAUAGAUUGCCAUGCGACACAAGAUUUUUACAAAUUUAGGAGAGCUCAAAUUAUGAAGAAAUUUCUAAUUGAAUAUGUGGAAGCAUUUGAAUAUAUGACUUUGAUUUCUUUUUUAAGAAAAAAUUAUUUAUAUAUGUAUACAAUCAGUAUGUCAUUUGAAAACUUUGGUUAAUCUACUAUGUUAAGCAAUUUUUUUUUUUAAUAAAAAAAUGACUACGCUACUGAUUUAAUAUAAUUCUCUACCUUUUUUAUUUGAUUUAAUAUAAUACUCUACCUUUUUUGUUUAAUAUAUAUGAGUCUCUAUCUCUUUUAUUUUAUUAUGAUAAGCAUGAGUAAAAUUUUAUUCAUUUGGUAAUGUUCAGGUCAAAAAGGCUAAUCAUCAGAAUCCAACUACUAAUUUAGAUGGAUCCUCUCUAGUGAUUCCAGCAAGUUCGAGCACAUAGUACGGAGCUAUGUAAAUCGAGAUUAAGACCUGUUAAUACAUAAUAAGUAUAACCUAAGUAGGUAAUUAUUCAAAUUUAUCAUAAUUUAUUUUGAUUUUGAAUUGUACAGAAAAUUAAAUAUGAAGAAGACUUUAUAUACAGCAAUAUGAUUAAUCGUGUUUUGAUUAAUUAUCAAAAUAGUAUAGGAAAAUGAUCAAAACCCCCUCAUGCUUGGCGUAAUUAACUAUUCUUCCUUCAUAAGUUGAACAAUAAAAUCCCUGGCGUUAUAGGUUUAAACACCCCUAGACACUUUUGGAGGACUAUCUGUUCUUUUUGUAACAGACAAUUGAUAAAUGGAUUUUUUUUUUUUUUUUGAGAAGGAUAAAUGGAUUUUAAACACUAAUUAAUUUCGAGGGAUAUUAUCAAAUAUAAUACCUAGCAUGACAUAUCAAUUUAUCAACGAGAUUUUCUGAUAAUUAUGUUUUACCAUCUAAUGUUUUGGUUGUUACUAUUUAUCGCCAAAAUCUUAACACUAUUAAAAAAUUGUUGAGGUCACAAGAGUAUUUGAUAAAUUUCAAACUGAAGCUAUUUUUCUAUUUUCUUAGUUCUUUUAGAGAUUUUUAUCUUUUUCCUCUAGACAUCUGAUUUAGAGCCUUUUAUUUUUGUUUUAUUUAUUUCAAUUAUUAGAAUUUUAUUAUGAUUUUAUAUUAUUACAUUUAAUUGGUUUAAUUUUAAUUGAACUUAAUAUGGUGAAAUUUAUUUGUACAAGUAAAAAUAAUAUCACAAAUUAGUUUCUCUAUGGAUGCAUGAAAAUUUUCAGUUACUGUCACUAUCAGAAAACCUAAAUUCAAUCGCAGGAAUAUCUUAAAAUAAUAAAAUUUUAAUAACUAAAUUAAAGAAAAAGAAUAAAAACGACUCGUACAUCUAAUUUCUUAAAAUCCAAAAAAAAAAACUACAAAAAUAAGAAAAUGACUUCAUCUUGAAAUUUUUUAAAUACCUUUGUGAUCUCAAUAAUUUUUUAGUAGUGUUAAGAUUGUGAUAGUAAAAUGAUAGCAGACUGAAUAUUAGGUGGUAAAAUAUAGUUAUUAGAAAAUCUUGUGGUGAAUUGAUAUGUCGGGGGAACUUCUAGUGAUGAUUUGAUAAAAUCCCUUAUUUCACUGUAAAAUUAAAAACAAGAAAAAGGAAAGUCAACAGUUAAUAAAACAUUCAUUGACAGUAGAGGGUUUUGUUGUUUCCAAAACUAAGGGUGUACUAUAAAUAGUUAAUUUCUCCUGGCAGUAGGGACAUUUUACUUACCUUAAAAAUUUUGUAUUCCUUCAUGGCACAUUUAGUCCAUUUUUGUAAUGGAAUGAAUUUUUCAUUAAGUUGUAAAUCUUUAGCUGUGAAGUAAAGGUGAGUAUUUACUAGGCGAUUGAUACAACAGUUGUGUUUUCAUAAUCAAACGGCGGCACAAUAGUUGUUGCUAUCUCACAACACAAAUGUAAAUUAAGAAAGCGCUAAACAACUAGAGAACUUGGAAAGAGACAAUAUAAUUAUGUGUGUGUAUACAUAUAUACACAUACAUAUAUAUACACAUACAUAUCAUUAAUGUUGUUUAACCACACGACUUAACAUCGUACCUCGCAUCUAAGCAUGAUUAUAUGUUUUAAAAAAACUAUUAAAACAUAUGAUUUUAUAACAUUAUAUCAUUAUACUAUUAAACCAUGUGGCUUAAUAGUUUUCAUGGACGUUACAAUAUUAAAUCAUAUAAAUAGUUUUCAUGGACGUUACAAUAUUAAAUCAUAUAACGUAAUAGCUUUUCCACACUAACAAAUUUAAUAUUUUGGAUUGGGACACACACACACAUGUAUAGGUGUUGUGCCCUUGUUUAUUUAUUUAUUUAUUUUGAAAUGUAAACAUGUUGUUUAAUAGUUUUCUUUACUGACUCUAUUAAACUGUAUGAUUUAAUAGUAUGUUCACAUGAAAAAAAAAUGAAGGCACCCACAUUAGAGAAGAACUAUAAUAUUAAACAAAAUAAUCUAACAAAUAUUGUUAAUUAUUAUUUUUUUUUUAUGAACAACUACACAAACGGAGUGAUUCUAAGAAAGCUUGUGAAGCGAGUUGAGGCUGCAGACUAUGAGACAUAUUAAUUUUCUACAAUUUACCUUUUGUUCAUUAUAUUAAAGUCCCAUUAUUUUUAUUACUAUUCUUUAUGUUUGCUAUUCCGCACGAAUACGUAUCCCUAACGUAUUAGUUGUCGCUUCUUAGAAUUAAAACUAGACACAUGUAAAUAUGUGAACUCUAAUUAAAUCUUGAUACUUGUAAUAUAUAUGAGCCAUAUCUAAAAAGGAAAUUUCAAUUUCUACUUCCAUUUUUUAAAUGCCAGGUCGAUGUACAUUAUCUAUGCAUGUACUGAAUAGGAAGCAACACAUGAAGAUGCAUUCUUUUUGCUAGACACUGAUUUUUAAUUUUCAUUUUUUUUCCAAUUAUUCAAAGGUGCCUGGUCCACGCAUGUCCGGUUCGUCAAGCAGACAAGCACAAGCAUGUGAAACUUGCUGAAUUAUUGAUGGUGGUGGGGGGCUGCCUGCCUCUGGCUUAUGAGUUUGAAGAUUUGUAAAGGGAAGGUUCGUAGUAGAUACUUCCCAUUCUCUACUUAUUGAUGGUGGUGGGGGCUGCGAUUUUAUAUUCAUUGAAUCUGGUAACAAGUGGUGGUGACCGGUGAUUGGUGAAUUGCCAAAAUUAUUAAAAGAAAAAUUGCACACUAUCCUUUUUUUCAUUUUUUAUUCUUUAUUUUACUAUUUCUAAUCGGUCCCACAAAAAAAUAUUUUAUUAUUUGUUAUCGAUCCCACAAAAGAAAAAUUCGAAAAGUGAACGCGUUUUCUGUCGUCCCUUCGUCGGCUUUCGUUCGUUUUCAGUUUUCACCAUCCUUUUUUUCAUUUUUUAUUCUUUAUUUUACUAUUUAUAAUCGGUCCCACAAAAGAAUAUUUCAUUUUUUCCAAUUAUUAAUCGACUUGUUAUUUCAUUAAGUAUAUAUAUAUAUAAUAAAUGAGUCGAAUUUAUGUUCAGCUAAAAUUUUAUUGUAUUUGACACGACUGUAAUGUAACAUGAUGGUAGGAAUUACCAUUGUGAUUUUAAAAAACUAUAGUGUUUAUAAUUUGAGUCUUCGUCUUAGCAUUGAAAUUAAUUCAAUAAAUGAAGUAAUUAUAUGGCAAAAGGAGAGAGAGAGAAACGUUUUAGUUUAACUUUGUUUAUAAGUUUGAAGAUUUGUAAAGCGAAGGUUCGUAGUAGAUGCAUUCCAUUUUCCUCUUUAUUCAGUAUUUACCCAGACACUGGAUUAAUGUUGUUGAUUUGAUAUACGAUUUUAUAUUUAUUGAUUCUAAUAACUAGAGGUGGUCACUGAUGAUUGGUGACUCACUAAAUUAUUAAUGGGUGGUGGGCUCUCCUUUUAUUUUCACUUUCCUGGAAUAAGCAACAAGUGGAAGACUUGUUACAUGCACUUUGCUCGACACUCUCCAUGCUUACUGUUCAAUUUUCUGAUUCUGCUUUCCAUAACCCAUAAUUCUGCUUCGUUCUUCCUUUGCCCAAAAAAAGAAAAAAAUGUCAAUCAUCGGAGAGGCAAUCCUUACGGCGUCCGUUGAUUUGCUGGUCAAUAAGUUAGCUUCAGAGGGGGUUCUGUUUUUUGCACGCCAAGAUCAAAUCGAGGCCGAUCUGAUGAGGUGGGCGAAUAUGUUGGAGAUGAUUAAGGCGGUGCUUGAUGAUGCUGCGGAGAAGAAGACGACUAAUCAGUUUGUGAAGAAGUGGCUUGGCAAGCUUCAGAACUUGGCUUAUGAUGUUGAAGACUUGUUGGAUGAGUUUCAAACUGAGGCUUUCCGGAGGAGGUUGCUGCUUGGGAAUGGAGAACCAGCUGCUGCUCAUGAUCAACCCAGUAGCAGUCGUACAAGACCAAGCAAGUUUAGGAAGCUCAUUCCUGCUUGCUGCACCACUUUUACUCCACAAUCGAUUCAGUUCGAUUAUGGCUUGAAGUCCAAAAUCAAAGAGAUCAGCAGCAGAUUUCAAGAAAUUGAAGAAGGAAUACGCUCGCUGAAUUUGAUAAAAAGUUUAGCUGGGGGGUCCAAAAAAGCCAGGCAAAGGCAAGAGACAACCUCUUUGGUGGAGGAAGCCAAAGUAUAUGGCAGGGAAACAGAAAAGAAGGAAAUUGUUGAAUUGUUGUUGAAGGAUGAUUCAAGAAAGGAUGGUGGAUUCUCUGUUAUUCCUAUUCUAGGUAUGGGCGGGCUGGGUAAAACCACUCUUGCUCAGGUUGUCUACAAUGAUAAGCAGGUGGAGGAUCAUUUUAAUCUCAAGGCAUGGGCUUGCGUCUCCGAUGAUUUUGAUGUUAGCAGGCUUACAAAAUCAAUCCUACAUUCAAUUGCUAGUGACCAGAAUGUGGAUAAUCACGACUUGAAUAAGCUUCAAGAGGAGCUAAAGAAACAACUAUUUGGAAAGAAAUUUUUGCUUGUUUUAGAUGACGUUUGGAAUGAGAAUUACAAUGACUGGGUUCACCUCAGCCUUCCAUUUCAAGCUGGCGCGAAGGGAAGUAAGAUUGUUGUCACUACUCGCAAUCAACAGGUUGCAAAAAUCAUGAGGCCGGAUCAAGCUUAUGAAUUGAAAAACUUGUCAACUGAGGAUUGUCUGUCUGUGUUUGCUCAGCACUCUUUGGGGACAAGAGAUUUCAGUUCACACAAGUCAUUGGAGGACAUUGGCAAGAAGAUAGUGAUCAAAUGCAAUGGCUUGCCCUUGGCAGCAAAAACACUGGGAGGACUUUUAUGUGGAGAACAUGACAGAGGUGUGUGGGAAGAUGUGCUCAGUAGCAAGAUAUGGGAAUUACCAGAAGAUAGAUGUCCCAUUAUACCAGCUCUUGCAGUGAGCUAUUAUUAUCUUCCUCCAAUUUUGAAACAAUGCUUUGCAUACUGCUCAUUGUUUCCUAAGGAUUAUGAAUUUGAAGAUGAGGAGAUAAUUUUAUUAUGGAGUGCUUCGGGUUUCUUGGUUCAUAAAGAGAGUGGGAAUCCUGACGAAGAUCUAGGUCGAAAGUUCUUUCAAGAGCUACGUUCAAGAUCUUUCUUCCAGCAAUCAAGCAACAAUACAUCACGAUUUGUGAUGCACGACCUUAUCAGCGACCUUGCUCAAUGGGCUGCGGGGGAGAUAUACUUCACAAUGGAGUAUACCUCGGAGGUUAACAAGCAACAGAGUUUUUCCAAAAAUCUUCGUCAUCUAUCGUACAUUCGUGGAGAAUGUGAUGGCGUUAAACGGUUUGAGGGCUUGUACGAUAUCCAACAUUUGCGAACAUUUUUACCAGUAAAGCUGUCAAAUAGUUGGGAUGGAGACUUGGCUCGUAGCAUUCUUCCUAAGUUGUUCAAACUCCAACGCUUGAGGGUCUUCUCCUUGUUUGGAUACCGCAUCUCUGAGCUACCAAAUUCAGUAGGUGAUUUGAGGUAUUUAAAGUACCUUAACCUAUCUGGAACUGAAAUUAGAACUCUGCCUGAAUCAGUGAACAAGCUUUACAAUUUGCACACACUUUUGUUGGAGGACUGUCGGAAACUGAAGAAGUUGUGUGCAGAAAUGGGAAACCUCAUCAAAUUGCAUCAUCUUAAAAAUUCAAAUACAGAUUCCUUGGAGGAAAUGCCACUAGGAAUUGGUAAUUUGACUUGUCUUCAAACGUUGUGUAAUUUUGUUGUGGCAAAAGACAGUGGUUCCGAGUUAAGAGAGCUGAAGUCGUUGACUCAUCUUAAGAGGACACUUAAAAUUUCAAAAUUGGAGAAUGUAAAAUGCGUUGGUGAUGCCAUGGAGGCUCAAAUGGAUGGAAAGAAGAAGCUGAAAGAAUUAUCGCUUAAUUGGACUUGCAGUACCGAUGGUUCAUCUUCAAGGGAGGCAGAAACUGAAAUGGGCGUGCUUGACAUGCUAAAACCUCAUACAAAUCUGGAGCAAUUUUGUAUCAAAGGCUAUGGAGGUAUGAAAUUUCCAACUUGGUUGGGAGAUUCCUCAUUCUCAAAUUUGGUGACCCUAAAAUUUGAAAAUUGUGACAUGUGUACUGCCCUGCCGUCAGUCGGCCAACUACCCUCUCUAAAGCAUCUUGCAGUAUGUGGAAUGAGCAGAGUAAAGAGGCUGGGUUCAGAGUUCUAUGGGAAUGAUCCUCCAAUUCCUUUUCUAUGCUUGGAGACUCUUCGUUUUGAAGACAUGCAAGAAUGGGAAGACUGGAUUCCCCAUGGAUCCAGUCAAGGAGUUGUUGAAGGGUUUCCUAAAUUGAGAGAGCUUCACAUUUUAAGAUGUUCUAAAUUGAAAGGAACAUUUCCAGAGCACCUUCCUGCAUUGGAGAUGCUUGUUAUUGAAGGAUGUGAAGAAUUGUCAGUUUCAGUUUCGAGUCUUCCAGCUCUUUGCAAAUUACAGAUUGGUGGAUGUAAAAAGGUUGUGUGGGAAAGUGCAACUGGUCAUCUCGGAUCUCAGAAUUCAGUGGUUUGUAGAGAUGCAUCAAAUCAAGUGUUUCUCGCAGGGCCAUUAAAGCCGCAACUGCCAAAAUUGGAAGAAUUGGAGAUAAAUGAUAUGAAAGAGCAUACAUAUAUCUGGAAGAGUCAUAACGGAUUACUACAAGACAUUUGCUCUCUCAGAAGACUGACGAUUAGACGGUGUCCCAAACUUCAAUCCUUGGUGGCGGAGGAAGAGAAAGACCAACAACAGCAGCUCUGCGAGUUGUCAUGCAGACUUGAAUAUCUAGGAUUGAGCUAUUGCGAAGGCCUUGUGAAGCUGCCACAAUCAUCUCUCAGCCUCAGUUCCUUGAGAGAGAUAUACAUCUGCUACUGCAGUUCCCUUGUUUCCUUUCCUGAGGUUGCUCUGCCUUCCAAGUUGAAGAAAAUUAGGAUUAGCAGUUGUGAUGCACUGAAAUCGUUACCAGAGGCAUGGAUGUGCGACACCAAUUCAUCUCUCGAGAUCUUGGAGAUUUGGAUUUGCUGUUCGUUGACAUAUAUUGCUGGAGUCCAGCUACCACGGAGCCUUAAGAGGUUGCAUAUCUUGUUGUGCAAUAAUAUAAGGACUUUGACAGUGGAAGAGGGCAUCCAGUGUAGCAAUAGCAGCAGCAGCAGCAGAAGGUACAUCUCAUCCCUUCUCGAGCACUUAGAAAUUGGCAAUUGUCGAUCUCUGACAUGUAUAUUUUCAAAAAACGAGUUACCUGCCACGCUUGAGUCCCUUGAAGUUGGCAAUCUACCUCCGUCUCUUAAGGUACUUGAUGUUUAUGGAUGUCCAAAGCUGGAGUCAAUAGCAGAAAGGUUGGACAACAACACAUCUCUUGAAACAAUCAGUAUUUUGUGCUGUGAAAAUCUGAAAAUUUUACCGAGUGGUUUACAUAAUCUCCGCCAGCUUCAAGAGAUUAGCAUAGAGAAAUGUGGAAAUCUGGAGUCCUUUCCCGAAGGGGGAUUGCCUUGUGCGAAACUGAGUAAGCUCAGGAUCUAUGGGUGUGAGAGACUAGAGGCCUUACCCAAGGGAUUGCACAAUCUGAAGUCUCUUCAAGAAUUAAGAAUAGGAAGAGGAGUUGAGCUUCCAAGCCUUGAAGAAGAUGGCCUUCCCACCAACCUUCAUUCACUGGAGAUUGAUGGUAAUAUGGAGAUUUGGAAGUCAACGAUUGAGUGGGGUCGGGGAUUCCACAGAUUCUCCUCUCUGCGAUGUCUUGCAAUCAGCGGAUGCGAUGACGACAUGGUGUCAUUUCCACUAGAGGACAAAAGAUUAGGGACCGCGCUUCCUCUUCCUGCCUGUCUAGCAUCCCUGAUGAUUGGUAAUUUUCCAAAUCUGGAACGCCUAUCUUCUUCAAUUGUUGAUCUUCAAAACCUCACUGAAUUGUAUCUCGGGGAUUGUCCCAAGCUCAAAUACUUUCCGGAGAAGGGCCUGCCUUCCUCACUUUUGCGAUUAUACAUCGACGAAUGUCCGUUGAUAGCAGAGAAGUGCAGAAAGGAUGGAGGACAAUAUUGGGACUUGUUAACCCAUAUACCCAGUGUUCUAAUAGAUUUAGCAAAGGAGGAGGACUCUAUUAAUUAAUUAAUGAAUUAAUUUCUCGUUAUCAGCGGUUGAAACUUCAGUUUCUUAUAUUUGUCUUUUCCGCGGUACGGUUACAUAUAUUUGUGUAUGUAAUUUUAAAAUUUAAAUCUCAGUUGAAAACUGUUUUAAAUUAAUAAAAAGAAAAAUGUUAAGUAGAGUAAGGGGCUCGCAUUAUUUCAGCAGCGGGGGACAUAUGUGUAUUAAUUAAUUAAUUAAUUAAUGGAUUAAUUUCUUAUGCGUAUCUCAUUCUAAGCUGUUGAAAUAAACUUCAGUUUCUUUUAUUUGGCUGUACAGUUACGCAUGUGUAAUAUUUCUCUUCAUCAGAUUUCGACAAAAAUUGUUAAUGUUUUUAUUAGUAAUUAAUUAGUAUGUUAGUGUUCGUCUUUUGUUCCAGAACAAUCUGCCUCUUCAGCAAUAAUGUUACAAUGUUCUUUUGAUGUUGUUGUUUAGCAAAGUGGUUUUUUACGUGCUAAUUAAACACAUGAGGGCUAGGCCGUGUUACAAAAUUAUUUGUAAUCUUUAAUUUAAUUGUUUAUGUGCCAUCGCUAUUAAUAUUAAUCGAUAAAUAUAAUUUUAUCAGUUACUGAAUAUUUGAAUUCAUCAAAACUGUCAUAAUUGAAACGGAUCUUCAUAUUAACACAUCAAUAUGACAGAAAAAGGGAAUAUUUUUAAUGAAUUAAUUUCCUAUUGAGUAUGAAUGCGUAAUGUAUAAUGGCUAUCUCUUUCUUAGUUGUUGAAAUUAACUUCAUUUUUCUGUACGGUUAUGUAUAACGAGAUUGAAAUUGUUUCGACCGGGUACAAUAAAAUAGUAAUGUGAGGUUCAUUCCGAUCAUGAUUUAUGAAAAUCACUUAAUUUUAAGGUAUGGUGGCCUAAAUUAUUUAUAUUAAUAAUACGGUCACCACCAGAAUUACUUUUAAGCUAUAGUGGCCUAAAUUAAUUUUAAGGUAUGGUGGCCUUAAUAUCUUCACCAGAAGAAUUACCAACCGCGUCAUCAGCAGUAAUGUUAUAAUGUUCUUUUAAUGGUUUUGUAAAGUGGUUUUUGAUUGCCGAUUAAGCACUUGAAGGCUGGACUGCUGCAGUACAGAAUUAUUUAUACUCUCUAAUCUGAUACACUUUAAGCAAGUUCUUGAAUUAAUUGCUUCUGUGCCAUUGCUUUUAAUAUUUGCAAAUAUUGAUCAUCAUUAGCUCCUUUUGGGAUGUUAGAGAGCUUUGUUCAGAGAGAAAGACCAUAAAAACAGAUUACAUAACUUGUCAUAUAAAAAUAGUAUGUUCGCAUAUUACUCACAGUUAGCCAAGGCGUCGUCUGGUCAUAAUUGACAUAAGAGCUCAACCGUAAGUAACACAAUACACAAUCUGAAGAAUAGUUGCUUGAUCAGAAAGUCCAACUUUGUAGCUAUAAUUUUUUUUUUUUUUUGAGAAGUGUAGCUAUAAUAUGCUAUUUUCAUAAGACUUCGUUAAAGAUUGUUUUGUAAUUAAUUUCACACAACACAACCCUACAGAAAAUUGACCAAAACAAAAUGAAAUAUCAAGGCUGUAAUUAGCACUUGAUCAAAGGAAAAGAAGAAACAAAUGAAUUUGUAAGGAGUAAUGCGAUACGUAUAUGAAUUUGUUAUCAUAGAAAAAAUCAAUUGUAUGUCCUUCGUAUUUUCUCUAUAAAAACUUGCAUUAUAGACCAUAUGUUUGUUUUGAUAUUUACUGGAGUGAAUUGUUGUUUUUGUGAUUAUCAAAAAUAUACUUCAGAGUUAUUUAUUUUUAUGUACAUAUAAAAUUGAAUUUAUUUUAAUGUGCACAAGAGUCAUUGGAAGGAUUUGCUCAUUAAUGGUUGGUUUGUGAAGUAAACUGACCAGACAAUUUAUCAAAAGCACUUUAUUACAUCAUCUUCAUACGUGCACUGAUGUAUACUAUCCCUGAAUCCCAUAACAACAAAAACAUAUAAUCAAAAGAGAAACAGCAUCAUCCAAUGCCAAGAAAAUAUCAGAAACAAAAAUCAAACAAAGCAAUUCAAAAGCAUUAGCUUGUGAUGCCAUGACCAAGAAUGCUACUACCAUAACAAGAAAUGGCAUUGCAAGACUGUAGAAUGCCACAUGUGCGAAUGAGAAGAACAUUACGAAUCAACAAUUCAAAGAAAAAAGAAGAAUUUAAACCAGCUAAAAGGAUAUUUAAUUAAUUUUUUAAAAUUAAUUAAAUAUCAACAAUGGCAAUUUUCUAAUUAAACAAAUCUUAAACAAUUUAAAAAUAUCAGUUUCGUCCGUUAUUAGUAAUUCAUAAAUAAAAUAAUAUUUAAUCAAAUAAAAUAUCAAGCAUUGGCAGUUGGUAGCGGUAUUUUUGUAAUUAAAAAUUUUUAAAAAACAAAAAAUAUUGCAUGUUAUGUAAUGUACUUAUCAUAACUUCAUAUUGUAUCUGCAUCAGUCACAAAUCUGUCAUCAAAUAAUCACGGAAGCAUUAUACGUCACUGAAAUAUUAUAUUUUCAUGACAAAACGAUAUAUGUCAUAAAAUUUGUGUUAUUAAAACGUAUGGUGAUUAUCCACCGACCACCUAUUUUUUUUUAAAUAUACAAAUUUUUUUUUUUUUUUUUGUAACAGUUCACCUAAAGUUAACAUUCUCUUUACUCGUCCACUUCCGUCAUAACGCAUUUAAUAGAUUUAACAGAAUAUUAAUUGACUUUUUUACCCAUAAUUGUAAAAUUAUUAUUAUUUUUAAAUAAAUGCCAAAAGUAUAUGAAUAUCAUUUAAAAUUUCCCAAGCUCAAUACGGCUUCGUAAAAACCCUGCAAAACUUUCGUUCCCAUCCUUGAGCCUUGAACAAUAUGAGCAAAAUAAUUUUUUUAGAAAAAACUAGGGAUAUCAAUUAAUAAAAAAUUUAAAUCUAACCAAAAAAUCCUAAUAUCUAAAAGCAAAAUCUUAACGAAUGUCCAUAAGCAAAAGAAUAGAAAAGAAAAGAAGCAUAAUCCCAUCAAGAAAAACGAGAUGAACAGAUGACAACUAAUUUCUUUUUCAAUUUAGAAUUUUAUUUUAUUUUCAAUUUAGAAUUUUAUUUCAUUUUCAAUUUUCAAUUUUGUUUUUCUUUAGUAAUUUGAGAUAAUUACUACUAUUAUAAACAGUUCUUUCUUGUAGCCUUUGAAGACAUAUUUAACUUCAAUAAUAUUUUUAAUUUUUAAAUCUCUUUGUGAGUAUUUAAACAAUAAAUUCUCAAUAUUCUACAAAAUCAUCGAAUCUUAAUUUCUAAAUUCGUGAUAUUUUUUUAAAUCAAUAUAAAUUUAAUUAUUCAUUUAUUUUAAUAUUUUCUAGAAUAAUAUUUUCAACAUUAAAAUUCCGCUCCAUCAACUACUCCUCUGCCUCCCAAACACAAUUAGCCCAGCCCAACAUGCGAAAGUGCAAUCGCCCGCAGUUCCAGUCAAUUGAACGUCUUGUCGUUUAUGCUAAAUGUCGUUUUUAAGUUUCAUUUACCAACGACAAAACGAUUUAUCUUUUACCUGAAAGUCCAAGCAUAGCGAGCGAGUUGUUUUACAAAUGGGACAGUUGUCCCAACGAUAUCCACAAUCCCAUUUUCACGGCCCGAAGAACAAACCCGAUGACAUAUGAAAGCAUCAACCUUUACUGCAGGAGGUCGAUUGAAAUGAUAGAAGGCGAAGAAGUAAAUGAAACAGGAAUAAGAAGCGGAAGCAAGUAAGCAGAGCAAGUGGCCAUGAAAACAGCUACAUUACCAUUUGGUGGCUUUGGGCAUUCUUAUUUACCUUCAUCUUCAUUCAAGAUUGUUAUUGUAAUGGCAAAGAGCAACAAAAAGUCCCGAUCCUCUUCUUCUUCUUCUAAGGUUCUUUCCACCUUUUUUUGUUUGAAUUCACAAUCUUCUCUUGUUUGAUGGCAAAGUUGGUCCUUUUUAGUUUUUUUUUUUUUUUGUUUUUAAUGAAUUGAAUUUAGCGUUUCAUAGACUCUCCUUUAAAGGGUUUGUGUGAUGUAGUUCAAUAAGUUUUGGAUGCUCCGAAGUAGUUAAUUUUAGUUAUAUGUAUUGUUUUUUUAGCUCAUAUGGGUGUCUUAAUGAAAUUUUUCAUUUUUCUUAUAUAUCAACAGUCUUCAGUUGUUGGCUGCUCUUGAUGACCGUUUUAGUUUAUUUAAUAUAUUCUUAUUGAAUAAUCAUAAUAAUAUGUGAUGCAAAAUUGUUUAUCAGGUGGUUUACAAUUGUAAGCAAAUAUAUAGAAGCUGAAACUGAUCAUUAUACUUUUAGUGAUUGCUGAUGCCUGUAGAGGUAGAUUUCUGACCCAGAAAGUGCCUUACAUGAGCAUAUCAGCCAUGUUAGUGGGAACACAAAAUGAGUAAGAGUAUGUGUUCUUGAGAAGCCAAAAAUAGGGUGUUAUUUUCUGCUUCUCUUAAUCAAGUUCUGUAGCAAUAGAAAAUGGGGAUUACAAUGCUUGGUUUAAAGGCUUUUUUUUUUUAAUUUUGUGGCAAAUUAAUGUAUGUUCCAGUGUAGGAGCAGUGUUUGAUCCAUACAUUUUUUUCUUUAUAUUUGUAAAAACUUUUAUCUCUUUUUUUUUUUUUUUUUUUGGCCUCUGACUGGCUGUUCUACCAAUAGGAUUCAGAGCCAACACCUCCAAGAAUUACAUCUAAUGUGAAGCAAAAUUUGCAGUUCUUGAGAUUAUGGAAGGUUGGUUUUAUAUUGACAUAUCUAAAACCAGCAUUAGUUUUUUUCUUUCAUCUUAUUUAAGUUUGCCUUUGUAGGAGUUUCAAAGGAGCAAGUCUAACAUGCCUAGGCCUUCAACUAGUUACCGCAGGAAAAAGGUUGAGAAGGAGGAAUUGCCAGAAGAUACAGAGCUUUACCGUGAUCCUACCACAACCCUUUACUAGUAAUAUACUCUUCACGUUUCUUUUAUUUGCCUUGUUUGUUGUUUCAUUGAUCCCCUCUUAACCUUCUAUUAAAGGAAUUUUCUCUUUUAUUUACAGUACAAACCAGGGUAUAGAUAAUGCUGUUCCUGUCUUACUUGUUGAUGGGUAUAAUGUUUGUGGCUAUUGGCCAAAGCUGAAGAAACAUUUUAUUAAAGGAAGGCUGGAUGUUGCUCGUCAGAAGCUAAUUGAGGAACUUGUGGAAUUUAGUAUGAUAAGAGGUUUGUAUUUUUUAUCUCUGUUUUAUUCUAUAAAAGGCUUCUCUGUAUGUUGCAACUGAUUAAAUGUGAUGCAGCCUUGCUUGGCUAUAACAAAAUGAUGUAUAAAAUAACAUAAUUGACAGAUAUAUUUCUGCUGCUUAACUUGUGAUUGGAUAUACUUUAAUAGUAGGUGUCUUCAAGAAGUGAUAUGUUGAAAAUUAAACACUGCUCCCAAUGCUUUUUUUGUUUUCUUUGGAAGGAACUGUUCCCUAUGCUUAGUUUCCUACUUUAUUAAGUUUUGCUAUCAAAGGUUCUUCGUUGAAGGUUAUCCCCAAAGAUCUAUGAUUGCUUUAAUGUUUCAUAGUAGUCUCAAGUUAAAAGUUAACUGUGUCAAAUUGUCAAAUAAAGUGUUAGUAGAUGAACAAAAUGAAGCAAAGACAGAUGGAUUUUCUAGAUUUGACCAUAUGGUCUUUCUCCUCUUAUUUUUCCAACCAGAAAUUUUACAGCACUGAAGCCAUAAGUUAAAGAGAUGUAAAGAUUUUUAAAAAAGAAAAAGAAAAGAAAGAAAAAGGUGCAACUAUUAGUUUUCACAUAUGCAUGUUGCAACAUUUAAAUUAUAGGAUAUGUUAUUGACUCAAAUUCGACUCAAAUUGUAAUCCUAAUACUUGGUUGUUAAUUGUUUUCUUUCUGUUGACGUUGCAACCACAUUUUAUGAUUUCUGAAAUAUGUACAGAGGUGAAAGUGGUCGCUGUGUUUGAUGCCUUGAUGUCUGGACUGCCAACACACAAGGAAGAAUUUAUUGGGUAUUAUUUGUGAACCUAAACCAUGCUUCCAUCAUUUUCUAACUCUUUUAUUCUUGAGAUUCAAUUCUGUCUGCAGAAUUGUGUUUUCUUUGAUAUCCUACUGCGAAAUGUCCUUUAUAUCCACUUAGUAUACAUGUGUUACUUAUACACAUUUCUUGGUGGUGUUAUUUUUGGACACGUAAAAGGUUCUAUGAUCCUGCUGUGCAUAUUGGAUGGUCAGAUUGAAUGGGGCUCAGUCGUGAUUUGCUACUUUUACUUUUCCACAAUUUAUUUAAAUCUGACUUUAUCUUUGUACUCUUGACUGGAAAUUCAUGAAUUGGGCUUCUGAUGGUAAAAUGAACUUGUUAGAGAUCAAGUAUUAUUUUCCACCUAUUUCUAUCUAUUCAUGUAUAAUAAUUACUCAACAGAUUAAAUUUUUUAUGAUUUUGGUAUAAACUAGGAAA